YUKYKGRRKKSGCCCUUAGAGUUUGAUCCUGGCUCAGAACGAACGCUGGCGGCGUGCUUAACACAUGCAAGUCGAACGUGAUCCAGAGCUUGCUCUGGUGAAAGUGGCGCACGGGUGAGUAACGCGUGGAUAACCUGCCCUGGUAUCUGGGAUAACAUCUCGAAAGGGGUGCUAAUACCGGAUAAGCCUACGGGCUCUUCGGAGUCUGCAGGAAAAGGAGGCCUCUAUUUAUAAGCUUCCGUAUCAUGAUGGGUCCGCGUACCAUUAGCUAGUUGGUGGGGUAAUGGCCUACCAAGGCGACGAUGGUUAGCUGGUCUGAGAGGAUGAUCAGCCACACUGGAACUGAGACACGGUCCAGACUCCUACGGGAGGCAGCAGUGGGGAAUUUUGCGCAAUGGGGGAAACCCUGACGCAGCAACGCCGCGUGAGUGAUGAAGGCUUUCGGGUCGUAUAGCUCUGUCAGAGGGGAAGAAAUGAAACGUGCUAAUAUCACGUUUUCUUGACGGUACCCUCAAAGGAAGCACCGGCUAACUCCGUGCCAGCAGCCGCGGUAAUAC
rnacentral:rRNA from 1 species